ensembl:lncRNA
GAAAGAGGAACUGGCGGCGCGGGAGCUGUCAAUGAGACAGCUACUUAGGAAGUGAGUCCAACCAGCCCGGGAGGCGGUGGAGACCCGCGCCCGGAAGUAACCGGAUUAGGUCUCAGGAUGUGAUCGCCCCCCGGGUCCCGGGGGAGACGCCAAGGACGCGCGAGCGGAGGGCGCGAAGACAACCGGGAGUCAGAGUCACGUAUCACUUGGGCUGGGAACGCCUCUGGGCGUUUCGGCGGGGUGGCGGUGGGGGUUAGGGGAGGCCCCUGCGAACCGUGCGGCCCGGGGAGAGCCCACCCAUCGCUGAGUCCCGACACCGGCUUUGAAGUUGCUGCAGUGGCUGGGCCCCUCCCCCGUCCGGCCCCGCGCAGCGCGGAGCCGCAGAGUCCAGGCCGUGCCCCAGCUUCGUCGCUAAGCGCUUAUUGCAGCGGCUCAUUGGACCACGUCGGUGGGGCGAUCGCAGCCUCUGAUCUGUGAGCUGCAAAGAGCUCCGAGGUUCAUUCACAAAUCUGCGCUCCAGGCCGUCCCUCCACGCACCCGAGCCGAGUCCCGGGGCCCGGAGAGCCCAGGGUGUUGGGCGCUGCGGAGGAGGCCCAGCUUCUGUCCCUCCCUUCACCUCCCAGCCUGCGAGGGACUUGGGGGAACGGGGAGCAAGUUUUCGCUCCGGAAGAACCGUUCGGAACCAAGGAGUCUGCCUCCUGGAUCCCGGAGUAGUUUCUGCAGAAAGGAGAUUCUCCUACGGGCAGAAGGGCUACCAGCCUGCAGUCAGCUCAGCCUCGGACCCUGGGAGUUGCUCACCACUCUGCGGAUCUUGAUCCGAAAUCCUUUCUGGCCGGCGACUGCGGAGAGUGUCCUCGUAGCGAGGUUUUCAAUCGAAGGAGCCUGGGCUCCACAUUUCGUCUUCAAGCCUGAGCUUUCAGGGCUGUUUUGCACGAGGUGCAGCUGAACUUGUGUCUGCAAACAAGACAGAAAACCCUAAGUGCCGCCCAACCUUCCUCGUUUGAGGAACCCGCACUUUGCCCUGGGAGCACGCCCAGCGCCUUAGUACCAAACUUUCUGGCCGGGGCUGAGAGUCCCCUUCCCCCUAGGCGCGGCCCCCUAACAUCUGUAACCCAAAGGUUGCGCAGCGGCCAAAAUUAGUCCUGGCAGUACGAACAGAGAACAAACAGCAGGCAGUGAAUGAGAACAGCUCGCAUUUCUCCUUCCUGGUAGAUGGGGAGGUGUAAAUCCCAAGGAAUUCUAGGGCAUUCGCUCCAUACGUGGGAAACCUUAGCGCGUAUCCCGUUUCUUUCUCCUAGCCUGUGUUAAUGCCCCAAAUGGUGUCGAGUUGCUCAACUUUGCCGUCAUCACAGAGGCUGUUGUGUCUUAGGGGAUUAACUGAUGUGAGACACACAAAACCCUGCAACUCCAUAACAUAAACUACAACACAGCCUUUCUAAACUCACUCUAUUUGAGUGAGUUUCUAGAGGAAAAGAGGAUUUUUUUAGAGGAGAAACAGAGCACUUCCAUAAUGUGCCUUAACUGAGAAAUCUUGUUCUACUGCUUUCCUUUAAGUGGAGCCAGAAGUGCUGGGAUGAGAGGGAAAGGAUGGGAGUGUGUCCAAAGGUGGACAGCAGGUCCCCAUCCCUGGUGGGAGUGAGACUGCACAGCAUCCCCGGGAAAGGUGGUUUGGGCCUUGGACAAGGCUAGAGGCAAGAGUCCAUGAUGCAGGGGUGACACAGUGCCCCUCCGCAUGUGAGUCCACGAAGGUCACUACUGAGGCUUUGUGCUUGUAAAAGGUCGCCACGCUUCACACAAGCUUCUAUACUCAACACA